rnacentral:rRNA from 1 species
UACAGAGGUCUCAAGCGUUGUUCGGAUUCAUUGGGCGUAAAGGGUGCGUAGGCGGCGCGGUAAGUCGGGUGUGAAAUCUCGGGGCUUAACUCCGAAACUGCAUUCGAUACUGCCGUGCUUGAGGACUGGAGAGGAGACUGGAAUUUACGGUGUAGCGGUGAAAUGCGUAGAUAUCGGGAAGAACACCCGUGGCGAAGGCGGCUCUCUGGGACGGUACUGACGCUGAGACGCGAAAGCGUGGGGAGCGAAAAGG